UACAGAACUUUACUUAAAUUGCAAAGACGCAUUUAAAGGGCUUGCAGCUACCACUUUUAUAUGAUAUUCAUGCACUAACCACAUUAAUUUCAAUAUUUUAUAUAAGGAUGUUUGAUGCCAAGCGGUUUUGUUGUUGCUUCUCAUUGCGAAUGGGAUGUUUUGCGAUUGUGGUGCUUACAAUCCUUUUUAGCGUUAUAAUCUCCAAAUUCAUUUUAGUUUAUUAUAACAUGAAGUAUCCAGGCCAUACGAAAGGAAGUACAGAGGAUCAUACUUCUAUGUUACUUCAUUUGGUGCCCGAACUUUUAAUUGUUCUAUCCUCACUCCUGCUAAUCCUUUACGAAAUGUGUCCCAGGACGGCUUUUGUCAUAACAUUUGUAUGCGUCAAUGGUGUCCAUAUCAUCUAUUUUAUCAUAAUAACCAUUGUAACAGUUUUGAUUCGCACAAAUAUUAUUGUUAACUAUGCUGGACUAUUGAUUCAUCUGUAUUGGCUGCUUUGCGUUUUUCGAACGGGAAUAACAAUCUAUUCUAUUUAUAUCGUAAUAUCGUACUGUAAGCAAAGAAGGAAAGAAAUGUAAAGAGAGAGGAAGAGAAAUGUACAAAGAUGAUCCUAGAAUUACAUGUAACAAAAUUUAAUAAAAGCAAAUCGUGCUAGGCUUGGUGAUAAAUCCUCACGAGCAGGGAAGUAGAGGUAAUGUUAAAGCCAUAUAAUACCAUCAGAACUCUUCUAUAUACUCUCCUCUAAUUUUAACGAAAGCUGAUUUGCUAUAUUUCGCACUUCAUCUUGUUCCAGAAGUUAUAGUGGGAAUAUCACCGGUUUUCCUAUACGUUCACGAACUGACCGUCAAAAAAGUAUGUAUCCUAAUUUAUGUGUUUACAGCUGGUCCCCACAUGAUCUAUUACACAUUAUUGUUUCUCAUAACUCUCGGAAUGGGCACAAACAUGAUUGUCAAUGAAACUGGAUCGUACGUUCAUUUGUUUUGGAUUUUUCUAGUAGUAAGAUUCGCAACGACUAGUUAUUUCAUUUACAUCAUAAUAUCCCACCAUAAUCAGGUACGCAAACGAGACAUCCGUCUUUCAGUUAUAAACUAACCUACAAAUCAUUUAAGCAUUACUUAGUUUAAAUUGAAAGCGAUCAAGUUCCUUUUAAGGCUCGAUCCCAUUUUAGGUAAAUUUUCAGUAAUUUUGUAAGUUUUAUUCUUUCUAAAAAUGUCAAGUAACAGUUUAAAAUUAAUAUACUAACAAAAAUUAUUUAUUGAGAAA